GACGAACGCUGGCGGCGUGCUUAACACAUGCAAGUCGAACGAUGAAGAAGAGAAACGCGAACUUCGGUUCAAAUUUCACUUCGGAUUAGUGGCAGACGGGUGAGUAACGCGUGAGCAACCUACCUCUUACAAAGGGAUAGCCUCGGGAAACCGUAAUUAAUACCAUAUGACACAUUCAUAAGGCAUCUUAAGAAUGUUAAAGCUACGGCGGUAAGAGAUGGGCUCGCGUCCCAUUAGCUAGUUGGUGAGGUAACGGCCCACCAAGGCGACGAUGGGUAACCGGGCUGAGAGGGUGAACGGUCACAUUGGAACUGAGACACGGUCCAAACUCCUACGGGAGGCAGCAGUGGGGAAUAUUGCACAAUGGAGGGAACUCUGAUGCAGCGACGCCGCGUGAGCGAUGAAGGAAUUCGUUUCGUAAAGCUCUGUUCUAUGGGAAGAAAAGGACUGUACCAUAGGAGAAAGCCCCGGCUAAAUACGUG
rnacentral:rRNA from 1 species